rnacentral:rRNA from 1 species
UACGUAGGGGGCAAGCGUUGUCCGGAUUUAUUGGGCGUAAAGAGCGUGUAGGCGGUCCGGUAAGUCCGCUGUGAAAGUCGGGGGCUCAACCCUCGAAUGCCGGUGGAUACUGUCGGGCUAGAGUGCGGAAGAGGCGAGUGGAAUUCCUGGUGUAGCGGUGAAAUGCGCAGAUAUCAGGAGGAACACCUAUUGCGAAGGCAGCUCGCUGGGACGUAACUGACGCUGAGAACGCGAAAGCGUGGGGAGCAAACAGG